rnacentral:rRNA from 1 species
GCCUGNCCACUGAUUUAGUUUAAAGGGCCGCGGUAUAUUGACCGUGCGAAGGUAGCAUAAUCAUUAGUCUUUUAAUUGAAGGCUUGUAUGAAUGGUUGGACAAAAAGUAAGCUGUCUCAAUUAUAAUGAUUGAACUUAACUUUUAAGUGAAAAGGCUUAAAUAAAUUAAGGGGACGAUAAGACCCUAUAAAGCUUGACAAUAAUUUAAUUAUACUAUCAAUUGUUAGUAUAACUUGGUUUUAAUUAAGAUUUGUUGCGUUGGGGCGACGAGAAUAUAAUAGGUAACUGUUCUUAAAUAUUUAAUAACAAAUAUAAUUGAAAAUUAGUGUGAUCCUCUAUUAGCGAUUAAAAGAUUAAGUUACUUUAGGGAUAACAGCGUAAUCUUCUUUGAGAGUCCCUAUCGACAAGAAGGUUUGCGACCUCGAUGUUGAAUUAAGGUAUCCUUAUGAUGCAGCAGUUAUAAAGG